CGAAUUGAGUGCUCCACCCCCGAGGGGUGGAAACCACCCAAAAACUGGAAAAACCCGUGUAACUCUUGGACGGAACAACUUACAGAGUUCGUUCAAGUGUAAAAAUUACUCCAGAAUUGGAGGCUCCAGGAAAACCACCCGCUAGAAUUAAGUGCUCCAUCCCCGAGAGGUGGAAACCACCCAAAAACUAGAAAAAUCCGUGUCACUCUUGGACGGAACAACUUGCAGAGUUCGUUCGAGUGUUAAAAUUACUCCAGAAUUGAAGGCUCCCGGAAAACCACCCGCUCGAAUUAAGUUCUCCACCCCCGAGGGGUGGAAACCACCCAAAAACUAGAAAAAUCCGUGUAACUCUUGGACGGAACAACUUGCAGAGUUCGUUCGAGUGUUGAAAUUACUCCAGAAUUGAAGGCUCCCGGAAAACCACCCGCUCGAAUUAAGUGCUCCACCCCCUAGGGGUGGAAACCACCC